AGCGAACGCUGGCGGCAGGCCUAACACAUGCAAGUCGAACGAACCUUUCGGGGUUAGUGGCGGACGGGUGAGUAACACGUGGGAACGUGCCUUUAGGUUCGGUAUAACUCAGGGAAACUUGUGCUAAUACCGAAUGUGCCCUUCGGGGGAAAGAUUAAUCGCCUUUAGAGCGGCCCGCGUCUGAUUAGCUAGUUGGUUGAGGUAAUGGCUCACCAAGGCGACGAUCAGUAGCUGGUCUGAGAGGAUGAUCAGCCACAUUGGGGCUGAGACACGGCCCAAACUCCUACGGGAGGCAGCAGUGGGGAAUCUAGCGCAAUGGGCGAAAGCCUGACGCAGCCAUGCCGCGUAAAUGAUGAAGGUCGUAGGAUUGUAAAAUUCUUUCACCGGGGGCGAUAAUGACGGUACCCGGAGAAGAAGCCCCGGCUAACUUCGUG
rnacentral:rRNA from 1 species